UACGGAGGGUGCAAGCGUUAUCCGGAUUUACUGGGUUUAAAGGGUGUGUAGGCGGGCUUUUACGUCAGUGGUGAAAUCUCCGGGCUCAACCCGGAAACUGCCAUUGAUACUAUUAGUCUUGAAUUUUGUUGAGGUAGGCGGAAUAAGUCAUGUAGCGGUGAAAUGCAUAGAUAUGACUUAGAACACCAAUUGCGAAGGCAGCUUGCUAAACAAAUAUUGACGCUGAGGCACGAAAGCGUGGGGAUCAAACAGG
rnacentral:rRNA from 1 species